CGAGCGGAACGACACUAACAAUCCUUCGGGUGCGUUAAUGGGCGUCGAGCGGCGGACGGGUGAGUAAUGCCUAGGAAAUUGCCUUGAUGUGGGGGAUAACCAUUGGAAACGAUGGCUAAUACCGCAUAAUGCCUACGGGCCAAAGAGGGGGACCUUCGGGCCUCUCGCGUCAAGAUAUGCCUAGGUGGGAUUAGCUAGUUGGUGAGGUAAUGGCUCACCAAGGCGACGAUCCCUAGCUGGUCUGAGAGGAUGAUCAGCCACACUGGAACUGAGACACGGUCCAGACUCCUACGGGAGGCAGCAGUGGGGAAUAUUGCACAAUGGGCGAAAGCCUGAUGCAGCCAUGCCGCGUGUAUGAAGAAGGCCUUCGGGUUGUAAAGUACUUUCAGUUGUGAGGAAGGGGGUAGUGUUAAUAGCGCUAUCUCUUGACGUUAGCAACAGAAGAAGCACCGGCUAACUCCGUGCCAGCAGCCGCGGUAAUACGGAGGGUGCGAGCGUUAAUCGGAAUUACUGGGCGUAAAGCGCAUGCAGGUGGUUCAUUAAGUCAGAUGUGAAAGCCCGGGGCUCAACCUCGGAACUGCAUUUGAAACUGGUGAACUAGAGUACUGUAGAGGGGGGUAGAAUUUCAGGUGUAGCGGU
rnacentral:rRNA from 1 species